rnacentral:rRNA from 1 species
UACGAAGGGGGCUAGCGUUGCUCGGAAUGACUGGGCGUAAAGGGCGCGUAGGCGGUUUGUACAGUCAGAUGUGAAAUUCCUGGGCUCAACCUGGGGGCUGCAUUUGAUACGUGCGGACUUGAGUGAGGAAGAGGGUCGUGGAAUUCCCAGUGUAGAGGUGAAAUGCGUAGAGAUCGGGAGGAACACCUGUGGCGAAGGCGGCCGACUGGGCCGACCCUGACGCUGAGGCGCGAAGGCGUGGGGAGCGAACGGG